rnacentral:rRNA from 1 species
UGGGGAAUAUUGGACAAUGGGCGCAAGCCUGAUCCAACCAUGCCGCGUGAGUGAUGAAGGCCUUAGGGUUGUAAAGCUCUUUCACCGAUGAAGAUAAUGACGGUAGUCGGAGAAGAAGCCCCGGCUAACUUCGUGCCAGCAGCCGCGGUAAUACGAAGGGGGCUAGCGUUGUUCGGAAUUACUGGGCGUAAAGCGCAUGUAGGCGGAUAUUUAAGUCAGGGGUGAAAUCCCAGAGCUCAACUCUGGAACUGCCUUUGAUACUGGGUAUCUUGAGUAUGGAAGAGGUAAGUGGAAUUCCGAGUGUAGAGGUGAAAUUCGUAGAUAUUCGGAGGAACACCAGUGGCGAAGGCGGCUUACUGGUCCAUUACUGACGCUGAGGUGCGAAAGCGUGGGGAGCAAACA